CUAAAUGCAGAAAGAGAAAGAAGACACAUCUCGCAUAACAUCACCUGUCGCAAAUCCAUCAACCUAGGACAUAUUGAGACCACAUUAUCCAGAUUUUUCAAACUACAUGCAUGGUUACUACGGUCCAAUGCCUCAUGCGUGGCAAUCGGGUAGUUCCGCUGCCUUGAGUAGUUCUGCUGCCUUGUAUAGUUCCACCAUAGUAAUGAUGGGACCUCCUCCAACUGCCUACCCAUUUACAUGGAGCAACUAGCAAUAUUCAUGGAUGCCUAGUUUCGCUGCCAUGCCUAAUUCCACUACCAGUGCUAGCUCUAGUGUAGCUAGUAGCUCGUGCUCCGCUUUACCAGCAUUUAUUCAUCUUACAAAUUCCAACCCACAUCCAUGUGGCAGUGAGGAAAAUAAGGCGCAACAAAGUUGCUCUGUUGAUACAAUUAGUGAUGCAUCCCUAGACUCGAUAGAAAUUGAAGCACAAUCUACUACCUCUUUGGGUAAUACUAUUGAUACUAAUGAGGCUGGUAGUUCUGGGACACUAUCCACAAAGCCUACAUCAGGGUGUGAUAUCAUUGAGCAGCCAAAGGCAAGGAUGUGCUUUGAAUCAGAA